UGCAGUCGAGCGGUAGCACAGAGAGCUUGCUCUCGGGUGACGAGCGGCGGACGGGUGAGUAAUGUCUAGGAAACUGCCUGAUGGAGGGGGAUAACUACUGGAAACGGUAGCUAAUACCGCAUAAUAUCGCAAGACCAAAGUGGGGGACCUUCGGGCCUCAUGCCAUCAGAUGUGCCCAGAUGGGAUUAGCUAGUAGGUGGGGUAACGGCUCACCUAGGCGACGAUCCCUAGCUGGUCUGAGAGGAUGACCAGCCACACUGGAACUGAGACACGGUCCAGACUCCUACGGGAGGCAGCAGUGGGGAAUAUUGCACAAUGGGCGCAAGCCUGAUGCAGCCAUGCCGCGUGUGUGAAGAAGGCCUUCGGGUUGUAAAGCACUUUCAGCGGGGAGGAAGGCGUUAAGGUUAAUAACCUUGGCGAUUGACGUU
rnacentral:rRNA from 1 species